GGGGAAUAUUGGGCAAUGGGGGGACCCUGACCCAGCAACGCCGCGUGGAGGAAGAAGGUCUUCGGAUCGUAAACUCCUGUCCUAAGAGAUGAGGAGAAGACGGUAUCUUAGGAGGAAGCACCGGCUAACUACGUGCCAGCAGCCGCGGUAAUACGGAGGAUGCGAGCGUUAUCCGGAUUUAUUGGGUUUAAAGGGUGCGUAGGCGGCGUCCUAAGUCAGCGGUAAAAGCCCGGGGCUCAACCCCGGCGAGCCGUUGAUACUGGGGUGCUCGAGUUGGAGAGAAGUAUGCGGAAUGCGCGGUGUAGCGGUGAAAUGCAUAGAUAUCGCGCAGAACUCCGAUUGCGAAGGCAGCAUGCCGGCUCCACACUGACGCUGAGGCACGAAAGCGUGGGUAUCGAACAGG
rnacentral:rRNA from 1 species